UCGGGAAUCUUGCACAAUGGGCGAAAGCCUGAUGCAGCAACGCCGCGUGCGGGAAGAAGGCCCUCGGGUUGUAAACCGCUUUCAGAAGGAACGAAACUGACGGUACUUUCAGAAGAAGGUGCGGCCAACUACGUGCCAGCAGCCGCGGUGACACGUAGGGACCAAGCGUUGUUCGGAUUUACUGGGCGUAAAGGGCGCGUAGGCGGCAUGACAAGUCACUUGUGAAAUCUCUGGGCUUAACCCAGAACGGCCAAGUGAUACUGUCGCGCUAGAGUGCAGAAGGGGCAAUCGGAAUUCUUGGUGUAGCGGUGAAAUGCGUAGAUAUCAAGAGGAACACCUGAGGUGAAGACGGGUUGCUGGGCUGACACUGACGCUGAGGCGCGAAAGCCAGGGGAGCAAACGGGAUUAGAUACCCCCGUAGUCCCUGAGCGGGCUGGCAAGGCGCAU
rnacentral:rRNA from 1 species